GAUAAACGCUGGCGGCGUGCCUAAUACAUGCAAGUCGAGCGAACGGACGAGAAGCUUGCUUCUCUGAUGUUAGCGGCGGACGAGUGAGUAACACGUGGAUAACCUACCUAUAAGACUGGGAUAACUUCGGGAAACCGGAGCUAAUACCGGAUAAUAUUUUGAACCGCAUGGUUCAAAAGUGAAAGACGGUCUUGCUGUCACUUAUAGAUGGAUCCGCGCUGCAUUAGCUAGUUGGUAAGGUAACGGCUUACCAAGGCAACGAUGCAUAGCCGACCUGAGAGGGUGAUCGGCCACACUGGAACUGAGACACGGUCCAGACUCCUACGGGAGGCAGCAGUAGGGAAUCUUCCGCAAUGGGCGAAAGCCUGACGGAGCAACGCCGCGUGAGUGAUGAAGGUCUUCGGAUCGUAAAACUCUGUUAUUAGGGAAGAACAUAUGUGUAAGUAACUGUGCACAUCUUGACGGUACCUAAUCAGAAAGCCACGGCUAACUACGUGCCAGCAGCCGCGGUAAUACGUAGGUGGCAAGCGUUAUCCGGAAUUAUGGGCGUAAAGCGCGCGUAGGCGGUUUUUUAAGUCUGAUGUGAAAGCCCACGGCUCAACCGUGGAGGGUCAUUGGAAACUGGAAAACUUGAGUGCAGAAGAGGAAAGUGGAAUUCCAUGUGUAGCGGUGAAAUGCGCAGAGAUAUGGAGGAACACCAGUGGCGAAGGCGACUUUCUGGUCUGUAACUGACGCUGAUGUGCGAAAGCGUGGGGAUCAAACAGGAUUAGAUACCCUGGUAGUCCACGCCGUAAACGAUGAGUGCUAAGUGUUAGGGGGUUUCCGCCCCUUAGUGCUGCAGCUAACGCAUUAAGCACUCCGCCUGGGGAGUACGACCGCAAGGUUGAAACUCAAAGGAAUUGACGGGGACCCGCACAAGCGGUGGAGCAUGUGGUUUAAUUCGAAGCAACGCGAAGAACCUUACCAAAUCUUGACAUCCUUUGACAACUCUAGAGAUAGAGCCUUCCCCUUCGGGGGACAAAGUGACAGGUGGUGCAUGGUUGUCGUCAGCUCGUGUCGUGAGAUGUUGGGUUAAGUCCCGCAACGAGCGCAACCCUUAAGCUUAGUUGCCAUCAUUAAGUUGGGCACUCUAAGUUGACUGCCGGUGACAAACCGGAGGAAGGUGGGGAUGACGUCAAAUCAUCAUGCCCCUUAUGAUUUGGGCUACACACGUGCUACAAUGGACAAUACAAAGGGCAGCGAAACCGCGAGGUCAAGCAAAUCCCAUAAAGUUGUUCUCAGUUCGGAUUGUAGUCUGCAACUCGACUACAUGAAGCUGGAAUCGCUAGUAAUCGUAGAUCAGCAUGCUACGGUGAAUACGUUCCCGGGUCU
rnacentral:rRNA from 1 species